AAACUCGGAACAAUACAAACAAUUGUGGCGUCUUCACCGGAAAUGGCAAAAGAAAUUCUACAGAAACACGAUCAGAUUUGCUCCGAUCGGACGGUACCUCACACGGCCCAAGCAGCAAACCACCAUAAGAGUUCAUUAGCCUGGCUACCGGUGGGUACCAAAUGGCGUAAAUUUCGUAAAAUUUGCAAAGAGCACAUGUUCACGGUACAUAAGCUCCAAUCGAGCGAAGGCCUCCGCAAAGAAAAGCUGCAGCAGUUGCGUGAUUACUUGCACGAAUGUUGCAGUAAUAGACGAGUUGUUGAUAUUGGGGAGGUUGCAUUUGUGACCUCCCUUAAUUUGAUUUCAACAACUCUCUUUUCUAUUGAUUUUGCUCGCUUCGGCUCCGAUUCUGCUCAAGAAAUGAAGGGUACUAUCAAGGGCUUGAUGAAGAUUUUAGGGACCCCUAACCUUGCUGAUUACUUCCCGAUUCUUAAGCGGAUCGAUCCACAAGGCCUUAAGCGCGAAUCGGAAGCUUAUGCUGGGAAGUUGCUAACGACAUUCGAUCAAAUAACUAGUGAAAGGUUGCGAUUAAUGGGCAUGUCCUCUUCUGAUUCUCCUAGAAAAAAUGAUUUACUUCAAGUACUUCUCGAUCUCAACCAAGAACGCGAUUCUGACUUGAGCCGCGACGAGUUAAAGCAUUUGUUUUUGGUGAGUAUUAUUUCACCCAUGCAUUUACAAUAUAAUUUUAAUACAAACUACGCGACACAAUGAAACAAAAAAACCAAUAGUGACACCCCAAUGGUUACAAUAUAUAUAUAUAUAUAUAAGAAAUUGUCAUUAAUACUUACAUUAACAACAUCUUGUAUUUUAUCAUUUAUAGGCAAUGUUUGAAUUAUUUUUGGGAGUUAUGGUAUAGUUUCUUGUUGUUGCCACUAAAUUGGUUUUCAGUGUCACCAUGUAGAAUUAGUGAGACACCAAUAGUGACAACAUAGUAAUAGUAUUUUCUUCUUGAGAAUAUAAAAAUAGGUGUUAGUCACACAAAUAAUAUUUUAUGUCAUCAUAAAAGGGAAAUACAUCUCAUACUAAAUAUAAAUUAAUUGUAUUUUAUUUCAGGUCUUAAUUGUUGGUGGAGCAGAUACGAGCACAGAUACCGUGGAAUGGGCAAUGACAGAACUGUUAAGAAAUCCUGAAAUAAUGUCGAAAGCAAAGAAUGAGCUAAGGACUGUGAUUGGAGAAAACAAACAAGUGGAAGAAUCCGAUAUCUCUAAACUCCCUUAUUUACGUGCAGUGAUUAAAGAGACCUUUAGAUUUCAUCCGGUCGCCCCAUUUUUAAUCCCUCACAAGGCAAAUGCUAAUGUAGAAAUGAAUGACUAUAUUAUCCCCAAAGAUGCUCAAAUACUUGUGAAUAUAUGGGCAAUGGGAAGAGACUCAAGUAUAUGGUCAAAUCCAAAUAUCUUUGAGCCUGAACGAUUUUUAGACAGCAAAAUCAACUUCAAGGGCCAUGAUUUUGAGUUCAUUCCCUUUGGUUCGGGAAGGAGAAUAUGCCCUGGGAUGCCAUUGGCGCACAUUAUGGUGCAUCUAAUGGUGGCAUCUUUGAUUCAUGAUUUUGAAUGGAAACUUGAACCAGGGAUAAAACCUGAGGAAAUGGACUUGAAUGAGAUGUUCGGGCUCUCACUCCAUAAGGCAGUGCCUCUUAAGACUUUUCCUGUCAAGUGGUCAUGAAUCGUAAAAAUAAAAGCCCUUUUCAUUCGAUAUGCACAUUUUUUCUCAUUAGUUUGAUAUGCGCGUGAAGAUAAUUAAUGUAAGAUCGAUGUUAAAUCGGCUAACCCUAUACUUGGUGGAGAGUAUAUUUUUCCUAGUUCUUUCCUUGCAACUUUUUCUAGGUUCUUUAUAAACAAGAUUUGGUUGGAGUCAAAAACUAAUAAUCCUAAUCAUAGAAAAGUGUAUGUCAUACACAUUUUGGAGUAGGGAGAUUUUUCUCUUCUUCUUUAUUCUUUUAAUUUCUUGAUCAUAGUGGUAAAGUUCUCCAAGAUAUACUCCCACGCUAUCGGAGAGUACGUGAUGAUUUAUAAGGCUGGGAUUAAGAGUUGGGCUGAAUUCAUAAGUAUUAAGAAAAUGAUUCUAACUUUGAAUAUAUAUAGUCUAUUAUAAAUUAAUGCAGUCGAGACUAUGAAAAUUCUAUUAAUUUAGUGGAAUAUUAAAUUAUCGAAUCAAUGAUCUAGCGCGUCCUCACCGAUUUAGGAUCUAGAGAAAUUAUUAUUUAAGCGAGGUUAUUAAAAUAUCAUGGUUCUACUGUAUUUGGAACGAGAAAGCCAAAAUUCAUGACCUUUGAUGAUUGAUGAAUUAAAUCUUCAUCGCACUUGUAAAAAAGACUUAAGUAAAAUAAAAUUCAAUUAAUUUUUACUAUAUUUUAUUGCCUAUACUCUAUAUUUUUUAACUUUUUAUUUUUCAAUCACUCAUGAUCAUAUCCGACAAUCCUUCGAUCACUCAUGACUAGAUCUAGCCACCCACUAUUAAGUUUGUGAAGGUUCGCUCAAAUCUAGUCACAAAUAACCAACUCGGCAGUGUUUCGAGACGUUGUGGCCGAAAAUCGGGGGUUCCUUGACUGACUCGUCGGUACACGGGUUUUACCCGAUCAAACCGGCUUUUGGUCAUUCGACCAUGGUUUUCAAUUUUCCCGGUUUUCGAUAUCAGACCGGACCACAUUAUCGUCGGGUCACAGUCGAACCGGUCCAACGGGCCGGUUCGGUCCGGUUCUAACAACAUUGGUAAACGGCAUCAUUGAGGGGCGGACCCAGGGUAUUGGGGGUGGGGGGGGGGGCGUGGGCGAAAACAUCUAUUAAAAAUUUUUUUGGCUCAAAAGGGAUUAAAAUUUACUUUUUGGGGCCCACGGGGGUUAUCUUAUAAACACCAUACCCCCAAAUUUUAAAAAAAAUUUNNNNNNNNNNNNNNNNNNNNNNNNNNNNNNNNNNNNNNNNNNNNNNNNNNNNNNNNNNNNNNNNNNNNNNNNNNNNNNNNNNNNNNNNNNNNNNNNNNNNUAUAUAUAUAUAUAUAUAUAUAUAUAUAUAUAGAUAUAUAUAUAUAUAUAGAUAGUGAGUUUUUCUUCGGUUUUCUCGAUUUAUUCCUUCAACAUGUAUGUGGGUGUGUAUGUGGCCAUUUUCCUUGAAGUUUUUUUCGAAUGAAAGACAAGGCCCCGACCCAACGGAUAGACUAACAAGGUCUGCACCUUGAGUCUUAAAAAAAUUAAUUUUUGUAGCGGCCACAAUGGAGAGAUAUCAAAAGGAUGUCAAACACUUAAUUAAUUUUUGUAAGGAAUAAUUAAUUCUUCUUUUUUUUUGCACCUCAAUGUGAUGGAGUAUAAAAAAACCUUUAGAAGGAAUUCUAGGUAUUAAAAAGAUAGGUGGGGUUAGAAUUGUUUUGGGCUAAAAUGGUAUUAAAUUUGAAUUUUGGGGGCUAAUGUGUAUAAAUUAAUAAACAAAUAACACAAAAUAUUAAAAAAUAAUAAUAAAAAAAAAAGAUUAAAAAAAAUCCUGCAGGGGCGCCCCCCCCCGCCCCUAAGGCAUACCUUGGGUCCACCCCUGGCUCAUUAACUCGCCAGUGUUGCUUGCUCGUCUCUGCUUCUCGCAUUGGCAUCACUCCUCCAUGGUGAUCAAGCGAGCUUCCACGGAUUUAAUUCCAGAGAUUGAUGCGAUCCCUAUAAGACAAAUAUAAUGCAAGCUAGAAUACGAGCCUCCAAAUAGUACGUUAUAAAUAAACAUCUAACCAUAUAAUCAGGAGCGGAACCAGGAUUUUUCGGUAGGGGGGGCCGAAAAUUUAAAAGAGUUAAUAAAUAUACGGUGAGGGUUCGGGGGCAGCGCCCCCGAAAUUUUUUAGGGAUAUUUAUGAAGAAAUUAACCAACACAAAUAGUAAUGAAAUACAGUAAACUUAUGUAAAAACAAUAUUCAUAGACUUAUGUAAAAUAAAUUGUAAUAUAAUAUACAUUUAGUUGAAUAAGUAAAAGUGUUUAAAAAAAAUAAAAUCUUGAAAUACAUAGAAAUUCGAUGGAUUGAAAACUUUAAACAUUAAGAAGAAAGAAAAUCAAUACUUUCUUUUUUAUGUUAUAUUAUUUUUCUAUCAUAAGCUUUAAUAGAGAUUAAGAAUUGAGAUUGUGAAAAAUAUUUUAUAGGAUAAAUUAUAAUAGAAAGUUAAUUUAAAAGGUGGAAAUAAUAAUUCAUUUUUUAAUGUGGGCAUAUAUACAUAUUUGUAAAUAAAAAAUAUAUAUAAUAGUAGAUAAAAGUUAAUAUACCAACCAUUACUAAUUAUUUGUGUAUAUAUAUAUCCAUCUAAUAUCUAUAAGUAUUAAACUUCUUUUUUUUUUUUUUUUUUGUUUUUUUUCUUUUUCUUCUUUUUCUUCUUUUGCUUCUUUCUUCUUUCUUUCUUCUUCUUCUAAUUCUUCUUCUUGUUUCUUUUCUUCUUUUUUUUUUUCUUCUUUUUUCUUCUUCUUGUUUUUCUUGUUUUUUGUUCUUCAUCUUCUUUUUUCUUCUUUUUUUUCUUGUUUCUUCUUUUUUUUUUUUUUUUUUUUUUAUGGCACGUGGUGCGUGAAAUUGUAGGUUCUUCAUUUUGUCUUCAUAUUUGGUUGGAGUAGAUGGGUUUGCCCAUUACUAUUUCAUUUGGCGUUUAUUUUGUAUGAUGUUGUCAUUGGUUUGACGCGUUGCUUAUAUGUGUUUACAUUUAGCAUUGUGCGUGAUGUACUUGAUGAGGGGAUCAGACUCUCAAGAUUUUUUGAUGGGGAUCGUGCCCCUUGUUAGACCUCAUGGGUCGUAAAUAUGUUAGGACCGUGGCCACGUUUUAAAUGUAGAACCCAAUAAAGACAGAUAGAGAAGUUUAUAAAAUCAAGCUGGCCAGGCUAUAUAGAUCAUUAUAAAAUCUCUAAGUGUUCCCAGGGUUAAUGUUGACUUGAGAUAAUAAUUAUGUAGUUGUUGAGUAAUAACACCGAGUGUAAGGGAAAUAAUUUGUUUUAUUCAUUGCUUGAAAAUGUGAAGGUUACAAGCCUACUUGAGGCAAAUGUAACUAAACAAGUUGGGAGCGAAUCGCUCAAAAUAACUAAACUUGUACUAAAUAGAUGAUGUAGAUGCUUCGUCCAAUUCAUGUAGAAAGGUGAGGGGAUGCAUCAUCCUUAAGGUAGGAUAGCCCCCCAGUUUAGGAUGAUGCGAUCACUAACAAUGUUAUGAGCUCUAAAGACUCCAAGUAUCAUUGACAUCAUUGGAAGUCCAGAGAUGUAGAAGGAGAUUCUCAAUGAGAUGUCGACGAUUGUCGUCGGACAUCUCGUCGUCGGGUGCUGAAGUGAUCUUCAUCUCUUUUCCUCUUGGGAGGAGCGGGGGUCGAAGCUUCUUCGAUGCGCACGUGUUUCUCAGCGCGACUUAGUAGCUCUUCCAGAUUGGUUGGAGGUCUUCCUGCAAUGGAUUCCUUGAAUCUACCUUCCUUCAAAUUUUGUUGAAUGAUUCCAGCGAGCAUGCUUCCUCCCACGUUAGGAACUUUGUGAGAUGCCUCUACAAAUCGUUGAAUGUAGUUGCGGAGGGUCUCGCCCUCUCUUUGGGUGAUAGUGAAGAGGUACGCAGGAGUCUUAGCGUACUCUUUGUUGAUAGAGAAAUGGUGGGUGAAGCGAUCCGUUAGUUGGGAGAGAGCUUCAAUUGACCCAGUGGGCAAGGAAUUGAACCAGCUCAAUGCUCGUUCAGAGAGCGUUGUGCGAAACAUCUUGCACAUCGCCGCAUCAGUUGGGCCAUAUAGAUCUGCCAUGGCGUAGAACUUUUCAAGGUGCUCCUGUGGGUCACUAGUUCCAUCGAACUGCGGUAGACUCGAGACCUUUACCCGUUGGGGUAGUAUCUCAUUGAUUAUUGCGACAGUGAAGGGACUGCGCCUUAUUGGAGGUAUCGCCCUUCCACCAAUGGGAUUACCUAUGUGGGGAAGGUGAUUUGAACGAGGCACCCGACUGUUAAUUUCAUCAUCUCCACCAUUUCGUGGAGGAGCUCGUUGGCGUGAGGCGUUGCCUCUUGAAGGUGAACGUGGGUCUUGUCGCCCAGUUCGUGCAUUUUGGCGAUGAGUAGAUUGUUGCAUUCGAGACCUAGGGUUUGAGGUGGAUGCGGUAUCCGCUGGCGGUGGAGGAUGUUGUGGCACGGGUGGAGAUGCAAGGGGAGCGCUGACUCCCGUUGUGGCGAUAUAUUGUGCCACUGCUUCAGUGGCAGCACGAGCCGAAACUUCCGCAAUCAUGUGCUGGAGGGCCUCUUCGGUUAUUUGAACCGUUCGGGAAACAAGGAGCGGUGGAGAAGGUAGUGGAGGCUCGAGGAGUGGUGGAUCCUGAGGGGGAUUCACCUGAACCUCGCGAGGUUCCUGAUUACGAGGAGUAAGUGGCAAGCCAGAGCUUCCACGAGGUGGAAGGAUGUUAGCAUUGGUACGUUCUCUCCGAGUAGAUGACUCAGGGACAUCAUGCUUGCUACGUGAUCUUGUAUGCUUUCCCACAGACGGCGCCAUUAUGAUGAUGCUAAAAAUAGAUCACCUUAAGUAGUUGAGAUCGAGGGAGCUGGGAGAGUAAAGUGGAUCACUGCUCACGUGCUAGGUGGCCCUGAGAUACCUACGAACAAAGAACACGUGAACUAAGCCGGGGGUUGAUCCGGCGGAAACCCCUCCGACGCUCAAGUCAGACGUGCGGAUAGUCGGUAAUUGUAGAGAGAAUUCGAAUAGAAGAAUUGAUUGAACAAUAAUAGUGUACCUUCAUUAAACGAACUUAAGUUGUAUUUAUACUCUAUUGAUUGAGCCUAGAUCAAUUUAUCGGGCUCAACCUUAUUCGGUUGUGAUUGGACUUCCGUAGAAAUAACUAUUAAAUUGGGCAUGUGACCCAGUAAAUAUGGGUCUAUUGGGCUGGGCCAAUAGACAUAUCACUUAUUAUUUCCAAAUUGGGUACAAGCAAUAUUUCAAUAUUGACAGGUGUAUAACAUAAUAAUAAAAAGAGCUUGCAAAGGGUGGUAAUGCAAUUAUCCAAAUAUGUUAGGGCUUAUUUUAUAAUUAAAGGAAAAUGGGCGGAAAGAAUGGGUGCAUCAAGCAAUAUUUUGAAAAUUAUUGGGAUAACAUAAUAACAAAAAGGGCUAAUCAUGGGUGGAAAUGUAAUUACCCUCAAAUGUUAGGGCUGAUUUUAUAAUUAAAGGAAAAUGGGGGGAAAGAAUGGGUGCAGCAAGCAAUAUUUUACAAAUUGACUGGUGUAUAAUAUAACAAUAAAAAGGGCUUAUCAGGGGUGGAAAUGUAAUUAUCCAAAAAUGUUAGGGCUGAUUUUAUAAUUAAAGGAAAAUGGGAGGAAAUAAUGGGAAUGGGAGAAAAAAAUGGGUGCAGCAAGCAAUAAUUUAAAAAUGGACAGGUGUAUAACAUAAUAAUAAAAAGGGCUUGCAAACGGUGGUAAUCUAAUUAUCCGAAUACGUUAGGGCUGAUUUUAUGAUUAAAGGAAAAUGGCCGAAAAGAAUGGGUGCAUCAAGCAAUAUUUUAAAAAUUAGUGGGGAAAAUAUAAUAAUAAAAAGGGCUUAUCAAGGAUGGAAAUCUAAUUAUCCAAAAUUGUUAGGGCUGAUUUUAUAAUUAAAGGAAAAUGGGAGGAAAGAACGGGUGCACCAAGCAAUAUUUUGGGGCUAAUAUAAUAAUAAAAAGGGCUUGCAAGGGGUGCAAAUGUAAUUAUCCGAAAAUGUUAUGGGUGGUUUUAUAAUUAAAGGAAAAUGGGAAGAAGGAAUGGGUGCAACAAGCAAUAUUUUAAAAAUUGAUAGGUGUAUAAUACAAUAAUAAAACAAGCCUUGCAAGGGGUGGUAAUGUGAUUAUCCGAAAAUGUUAGGGGUGAUUUUAUAAUUAAAGGAAAAUGGGAGGAAAGAAUGGGUGCAACAAGUAAUAUUUUAAAAAUUACUGCAGGGUAAUAUAAUAAUAAAAAGGGCUUAUCAGGGGUGGAAGUAUAAUUACCCAAAUAUCCGAAAAUGGGCACCAACGCCGCGCAUUGCGCGGUAUAUAUAUAUAUAUAUAUAUAUAUAUAUAUAUAUAUAUGCGAGCUCACUAAAUAAUCGAGAGACGAUAGAGGGAUUAAGGAGCUUAUCUCCAAUCUUCCUUUUUUAGUAGUAAACGGCAAUGUUUUCAGAACCGGACGACCAUUUGGGUUUAUAGGGUCAAAUCGGUUCAACCGGGGUUUUUUUUUUUUGUUUUUUUAAUAUGUCAUUAUUUUAUUAAUUUGAAUGUUUUAACAAUAUUAUUUUCUUUAUAUUUUUAAUAUCCCCACUUAUUAUUUUCACUUUUAUCUACUUCACCUCACUUUUUACUUUAUUUUAUUGCCUAUACUCUAUAAUUUUCAACUUUUUAUUCUUCAAUCACCCAUGAUCAUAUCCGACAAUUCUUCGACCACUAAUGACUAGAUCUGGCCACCCACAAUUAAGUCUGUGAAAGUUCGCUCAAAUCUUUCACAAAUAACCAACUCAGCGGUGAUUCGAGACGUUUUGGCUGAAAAUCGGGUUCCUUGACUGACUCGUCGGUACUCGGGUUUUACCCGGUCGAACCGGCUUUAGGUCAUUCGACCCCGAUUUUCAAUUUUUCCGGUUUUAGAUAUCAGACCGGACCACUUUAUCGUCGGGCCACGGUCGAACCGGUCCGACCGGCCGGUUCGGUCCGGUUCUAACAACAUUGGUAAACGGCGUCAUUCAGGGGCGAACCAAGGGGUAUUGGGUGGGGGGGUAGAAUUUUUUUUGGGCUAAAAUGGUACCAAAUUUGAACUUUGGGGGCUAAAGUGUAUAAAUUAAUAGAUAAAUUUCACAAAAUAUUGAAAAAAAUAAUAAGAAAAAGAUUAAAAAAAAUAAAAAAUAAAAAAAUAAAAAAAAAAUAUUCUUGCAGGGGCGGGCCCCCCAAGGCAUACCUUGGGUCCGCCCCUGGCGUCAUUAACUCGCCGGUGUUGCUCGCUCGUCUUUGCUUCUCGCAUUGGCAUCACUCCUCCAUGGUGAUUAAGCGAGCUUCCACGAAUUUAAUUCCAGAGAUUGAUGCGAUCCCUAUAAGACAAAUAUAAUGCAAGCUACAAUACGAGCCUCCAAGUAGCUAGUACGUUAUAAAUAAACAUCUAACCAUAUAAUGGCAGUGAUCUAUUCAAUAUAACAAGGCGCAAAGUUGCUACAACGUACAACAUACUGCCUAAUUUUAAUAUGCGACACAUUCGAUUCCUAUUGCACUGGACGGUUCGUCGAUUGGAAUUCUUCUGCGUAAAACUAAAAACAUUCAUCACCUGUGAAAAUAAAUUUUAAUGCCCUUUAAUUAAAAGCACUAGGUUUAAAGAAAUCAAACAAGCGCAGGAAGAUCUUUACUAUUCAUAAGCACACAACAUACACAUCCACAUUAGUGUGUGUAGAUCAACGAUACAUAUCCACCCAGUGUAAUCUUCACUGGAUGUAGUAUAUGUAGUAUAGAGUUAACCUUAUCUUAGAUGUGACAUCGUUUGGGAUUGGUAAAAUUGGAAUACAAGAACCAAACUUGCUGAAGUCCAAAAACCAUUCUUAAUUAAUUGGGUUUGGCUAAUCUUUAAUCCAUCUGUCACAUGAAAAGAAAAAUUAAGAUGUUUUAGCUUUUAAAUUUUCAAAACUUGAAACAAAUUCAUAGCCAUUACUUAUAACAGAUUUUAAUCAUUAAUUUCCAUCCGAUGAAUUUUAAUUUGCUCUCACAGAUUUCGGCUUGCCAAACGGAAAAUUCUAAUUCCACCAUUUGUCAAAAAAAGAAAUUAAAGAAAAUAAAAAAAAAUCCAAGGCUUUUAAUAGGAUUGAAAUUUGAAACAUAUAUUUGCCAACUAAUUCGAUUUUUGCCCCGACUUGCAAUACUCAUGCAUUAUGUCUAUUCCUUUUAUAGCAACCUUGCCUAAUUAUUCGGUUUAUGUUAACUUCUUAAAUGGAAAUUAAGUUGCUACACCUAGUUAUUUAUACGUGAUAUAUUUGAACCACAAAUCUACACAUAAUCACACACUCAUGUGUAUAUGUUUAAUUAUAAUUCAUGAAUGUAUAAUUAUCUAACCAAAUAUGGCGUUCAAAUUCACCUAGUGUAAAUAACCAGAUGUACUAGCACUUCUAAAAUGGCCUGUUCUAUGUAACUUUUCCUUUCAUUAUAAUCAUGCCCACAAAGGGCCCUCAUGAAUUUGAUACACAUUAAAUACGACCACAUGGACUUCAAUUUGUGAUUUAUAAUACUUUAUUUUAUUUUUUGCACCAAAAUUGAAGCAUCUGUACAAGACCAUAACCAUAACAGUUUUGCAUCUCUAUAUAAACACUAACCAUAGAUUAAGUACCUUAAUUUCACAAAGAAACACACACAACAAAGAAAAAAAAAAAAAAGAGCCAAUGGAUUUUCUCACACUUUUGCUACUAUUAUUCCCACUCAUUUGGGCAUUUUCUCAUGUCUUGGUAGCAAAAUUCCGGCACACGAAGCUUCCGCCGGGGCCUUUCCCACUUCCGAUCAUAGGCAACUUUCUCCUACUCGGACGAAACCCCCACCGCUCUAUCGCUAAGCUAUCAAAGACUUACGGCCCUUUAAUGUAUCUCAAACUCGGAACCGUACAAACAAUUGUGGCGUCAUAACCAGAAAUGGUAAAAGAAAUUCUACAGAAACACGAUCAAAUUUGCUCCGACCGGACGGUACCUCACACGGCCCAUGCAGCAAACCACCAUAAGAGCUCUUUAGCCUGGCUACCGGUGGGUAACAAAUGGCGUAAACUUCGUAGAAUUUGCAAAGAGCAUAUGUUUACGGUGCAUAAGCUCCAAUCGAGCGAAGGCCUCCGCAAAAAAAAGCUGCAGCAGUUGCACGAUUACUUGCACGAAUGUUGCAGUAAUAGACGAGUUGUUGAUAUUGGGGAGGUUGCAUUUGUGACCUCCCUUAAUUUGAUUUCGACCACUCUCUUUUCUAUUGAUUUUGCCCACUUUGGCUCCAAUUCUGCUCAAGAAAUGAAGGGUACUAUAUAUCAAGAGCCUAAUGAAGAUUUUAGGAACCCCUAACCUUGCUGAUUACUUCCCGAUUCUUAAGCGGAUCGAUCCACAAGGCCUUAAACGCGAAUCGGAAGAUUAUGCUGGGAAGUUGCUAACGACAUUCGAUCAAAUAACUAGUGAAAGGUUGCGAUCGAUUGGCGUGUCCUCUUCCGAUUUUCCUAGAAAAAAUGAUUUACUUCAAGUACUUCUCGAUCUCAACCAAGAACGCGAUUCUGACUUGAGCCGCGACGAGUUAAAGCAUUUGUUUUUGGUGAGUACUAUUUCAUCCAUGCAUUUACAAUAUAAUUUUAACACAAACUACGCGAAACAAGGAAAAAAAACCAAUAGUGACACCCCAAUGGUAACAACAUGAGCUAAUAGCACAUAUCCCCUGUGUUAUUUCUAAUUGGUGAACAACACCUCGUGUUAAAAAUAUUAGCAAAAAAACUCAUGUAUUGUGUUUUUCAAAGCACAUUAGCCCCUGUUUCGAAAUUGAAUGUUGACUUAUAUGAAAUGACUGAACUACCCUUACAAAAGAAAUAUUAAAAAAAAAACGAAAACAUAACAAAACGCAAAUAACAAUUGCAACAAAACCCAACUCAAUGUCUUCUUCUCCAACGAGGUCCCUCUUCUCCAGCACUGUAAAAAAAUAAUGUUGAUUCUUCAAUGUUCAUGCCUCACUUCUCGCCACAAUCAAAUCUCAAGUAAAGGUGGCUGACGGGGGAAAUAGAUGGGCGGGGCGGGGAUUUUGAGAAUUUGGGGUGGAGGGUCAGGGUGUCUAUGGCGAGAAGAGCGGAAGAGGCGGGUGGUGGAAGGAAGGGGUAGCGGCGGCGGCGUGAAAAGGUGAUUGCCGGAGGUGGUGUUGUGAUUUUGGUGGUGGCGGUGAUUUCAAUGGGAAGAAGAAGAAUUUUGGGGAAGACAUGUUCUUUCUCUCUGUUUGGAGUUAGCAGCUUGACGAGGUGAUUGCUGCUGGUGGUGGUGGGAGUUUGUUGGUGGUCGUGGCGAUUUCAGUGGAGGAGAAUAAUUUUGGGAAGACGCAAUUUAUUUUUCUUCAUUUAACAAAUUUUAAAAAUUGCAAUUUGAUCCAAAGUUUUGGAUUAUUUAUAUUUAAAUUAAAUUGGAUUUAUUUCUUUACAAAAUAAUCAGAGGGUAUUUUCGAAUUUUCAAGUAGAAACACACACUCUUACAUGCACAAUUCGCGCUUGCGCUAUACGAUGAGUUGUAGGGUUUUUUUUUGCGUUAACUUAUUUUCAUAGGGGGGUCGUUGCUAAUUGUUUUUACACGAUGUGGUUUUUAGCAAUUAGAGAUUUCAAAGGGCUAGAUUUUGCAAAAAAACCCUAACAAUAUAUAUAAGAAAUUGUCAUUAAAAUACUUACAUUAAGGAACAUCUUGUAUUUUAUCACUUAUAAGAAAUGUUUGGAUUCAUUUUGGGAGUUAUGAUAUAGUUUCUUAUUGUUGCCACUAACUCGGUUUUCAGUGUCACCAUGUUGAAUUAGUGAGACACCAAUAGUAACACCAUAGUAAUAGUAUUUUCUUCCUAAGAAUAUAAAAAUAGGUGUUGUCACACAAAAGCUUAUUUUAUAUAGUGAUAAAAGGGAAACAUAUCUCAUACGAGAUAUAAAUUAAUUGUACUUUAUUUCAGGUCUUAAUUGUUGGUGGAGCAGAUACGAGCACAGAUACCGUGGAAUGGGCAAUGACAGAACUAUUAAGCAAUCCUGAAAUAAUGUCCAAAGCAAGGAAUGAGCUAAGGACUGUGAUUGGAGAAAACAAACAAGUGGAAGAAUCCGAUAUCUCGAAACUCCCUUAUUUACGUGCAGUGGUUAAAGAGACCUUUAGAUUUCACCCGGUCGUCCUGUUUUUAAUCCCUCACAAGGCAAAUGCGAACGUAGAAAUGAAUGGCUACAUUAUCCCCAAAGAUGCUCAAAUACUUGUGAAUAUAUGGGCAAUGGGAAGAGACUCAAGUAUAUGGUCAAAUGCAGAUAUGUUUGAGCCUGAACGAUUUUUAGACAGUAAAAUCGACUACAAGGGCCAUGAUUUUGAGUUCAUUCCCUUCGGUUCAGGAAGGAGAAUAUGCCCCGGGAUGCCACUGGCUCACAUUAUGGUGCAUCUAAUGGUGGCAUCUUUCAUUCAUAACUUUAAAUGGAAACUUGAACCCGGGAUGAAAUCUGAGGAACUCGACUUGAGUGAGAUGUUCGGGCUUUCACUCCAUAAGGCAGUGCCACUUAAGGCUUUUCCUGUCAAGUGGCCAUGAAUCAUAAAAAAUAAAUACCCUUUUCAUUCGAUAUACACAAUUGUUCUUAUUGUAAUAUUUUUUGUUGGGUAAAUUAUCAAAAAUCCAUGAACAAAAGUCUAAUAACCAAAAAGUCCCUCAAGUAUUCAUAUUUGUUGUUGAAUAUUCGCAUCUUCAAGUAAUUUUUGUUAUCUCAGUUGUUUUGAUAUAAGUUGUUAUAUUAGGACUCAUUUAAUAUACUCCCUGGAGUGUUACUAAACUAGCAAAAAACCAAAGCCCAAAUCAUUCUUUGACAUACCCACCGAAGAAGUAAAAGUACUAUACUAGCCCCACAUGCAAUUUUCGCCCAACUACAUUCAACAUUGUUGAAGGUUUUAAGAUUUACGAGCUUUAGAUAAAUGAAAACGGUUGAGGAUAGUUUCUUAUGUUGCAAGCUCCUUGUAUUUUGAUUUAUUUUUGCAAUAUUGACAGUAGAUCGAAGUUUGAAUCCUGAAUUUCAAAGUAUUUUCUGUUGAUUUGUUAUCUGUCAUGAAAUGGUGAGUGAUAAUGGCACAGUAACAUUAUGACAUAAUAUGCAUAUUUGGAAUUAGUUUGAAUUUUGGAAUAGUAACUUUUUGCCGAAUUGAUUUUAAUUAUUUUGAACUGGUAAAUAAUGAUGACAUAUUGGCACUAAUCUUCAUAUCUUUAUUCCAAAAUUAAAUUUUUUUAUGUGAAUUAAGUGGCAAAUAUAUUCUCAACCGACCCAUUAGGAAACCGACUUAUCAUGUGUGAUCGCUAAUGGAUUAUAUGCAGAUAAUAACAUGUAUUUUUCCAUCCAUUAACCGCUUAAUGACCCUAUUCCAUCCGUCCAAAUAUCCUCUAUAUACAUACACAUAACGCAAAUGAUAAUAUUGCUUAUUUGCCUCGACGAUGUGGGGUAUAUUAUUUUCAGUUUUGUAGUUUGUAAAUAAAUGUAUCAAUAUUUUCUUACUUUGCAUAUGUAUUUUAUAUUUCAGUGUUUAUAUAUAUUAAGUUCGGGUACUGCAAUUUUUUGUAUUCGAAAUUUUGAAUUUGCUGAAAAAACCUAUCAGGAUUUCAAGUAGCUUUACCCGAAACCCCUUCUAGAGUGUCGCGUACCUUUAUACGCAGUUAAGUUUUUAAUUUGUUUUUCCACAAAGUUGGGUAGUUGUACAAAUGUUUAUGUAAUAUAAGUCAUAAGAUGUAAAAAUGAAAUGUUACCUUAAGAUAUGUUGCAGUACGAGAACACAUGAUCAAAAUUAUAUGUUGUUUGUUUAAAAAGAUUUUGAGAAUUAUGCUUGAAAACCAUAAAUUAAAUAUCAUCUAUAAACAAAAUAUCAAUUAUUUAAAUAAUCCUUCAAUUGUUUUUUAUAAAAUUCCUUCUGUUUUUAGUACUGGGAUAGAUUUAUUGAUCCUACUUCUAUUUUGUUUUUUUUUUUAUAAAUUAGUAUAAAAGUGUAUUUUGGUUCAAACUUCAAAUACAGAAGACGUAUUGAGUGAAUUGGUCAUCUUAUUUUUAGAAAAAUAUUUAUGAAAAUAAUAGAAUAUAAAGAUUUAAUGAAUAUAUUUAGAGUGGUGCUAUUUCCAUCUCCAAAUUAUUUCAAUUCACCACCAAAGAUUAUAAAAUUGCAUAAAUACCCCUGAAAUUUAUAAUCAACCACUCUUUCUUGUAUUCACUUAAUCAUCAUGUGUUCCAAGUUAUUUCUAUUUUAUUUUAUUAUUUUUUAAUUUUUUUUUAAUUUUUUUUUAUUAUCUUCUUACUUUUUACAAUAAAAUAUUUAUUACAAGAUAUUUAAAUUAAACUUCCGUAUCGGAUGAGCAACAAAUUAUGCAAUUUUAUUUUUAGGAAACGAAAUUAUAUUAAGCCAAACUGACAAAUUAUGGAGGAAGUUCAGGGCCUUAAUCUUAAUUUAUUUCUCAAAAACCGCAAAUAGUCCUGCUCUUUUUGACCUUUCAAAAUAUUUUUCUCUGACAAAAGUAUUAUUCACUUAAGGUGGAGAGGGUGAGAUUUCCAGUGAAAACGGUGUGAUUUUUUUUAUAUAAAUAUUUUAAUUUGUUUAGUUGUAGAUGGUUUAUAGAUUUGUAAAAAAUAAAGGUAAAAGAAGAAGAAAAUGGUUAAAUUAAAAAUAUAUUUAAUUUAGUGGUGAAAUACCACGUUAUACUUGUAGUCUCAAAACCAUAUAGCCGGCCCUGUCUACACUAACUUUUAAAUGUCAUUUAAAGUUAUCACUUUUUCAACUCUUGGAAAAAGGUUUGGUUUCGAAUACAAUUUUCUUCAGAUUAAGAAGGAUAUUUCUCAAUCAUAUUUAUGAUGAUAUUGACUACGGUGGUGUUUACCAACCAUCAUUAGAAAAGUUGGUACUCAACCUUUACUAUUAGAGUAGAUGUCUAGACUUUGGAUCCUACCCCACCCCUAUUUCCCCAGUUGUAAUGGAUUUGAAUAUUGCAAAAAAAAACUACGGUAGUAUUUUCAAAACAUUUUUAAAAAGUUGAAGUUGGUAAUUAUGAGUUAAGUUAGUAAUAAGUGCUUAUGUUAAAAAGUUGUUGGUGUUUGCAAACUCUAUAGAAAAAUCAAUUUUAAGCAACUUAUUUUAGGAGAAGUUGUUCAAUGAGUGUUUUUAAUAUUUUAGUUUAAAUCGGUCUAUCUUAACUGGAGGAAAAGAAAAAAUUGGUAUUGCAACCACUUUAAAAGUGAUUCUGAAUAAAAAAGAAAAAAAACUGAAAAUCACUUUUUAGAAGUUUUUGCAAACACCAUACAUCUAUGUUGAAACUUAAUAUUUUAUGAUUUUUCCUUGGUAUAUAAUACAUGAAGUUUUCUAGUAUUGUGGAACUCGGUCUUUCAAAUUGGUAACUAAUAGAGUUUAGUUCAACUUUAGGCGAAUACUAAUCGAAUUCGACUUGAGCCGAGAUUUUCAUAGCUUAUCAAACGAGAAUAUAGUUGAAGAUUGGUUCAAUUUGGUAAUAAAUAGAGUUCAAACGAGCUUUAACGGACAAUCUAAACUAGAUGUGAUAGAUUGGUACAAUUUAUAAUAGCUCUAGUAACCUAAUUGUUUACUUGUAUAAUUCAGAUCCAAUAUAUUAAUUGUUACAUUUAAACAACUACUACCUAGCUACCAAGUAGGCAUACCAAUAUUCAUAGAAACUCAAUGUAUUAAAUAUUCUUCUACGACAUUUUUCAAAUUUCAUGUAUAUAAAUAUGUCAUAUGUAUACCUUGGUUACUCAAAUCAAAUAAAGUUGAUACAAUGGAUUUUCUUAGGAUUUUGGUAAUACUAUACACAAUAAUAUGCCUAUGGAUAUUUCUUCAUCUCUUUGGAUACUACAAAAGAUCAUCAUCGAAGCUUCCACCGGGUCCUUUCCCUCUUCCGAUCAUAGGCAACCUUCUCCUACUCGGACGAAACCCCCACCGCUCUCUGGCGAAGCUAUCAAAGACUUACGGCCCUAUAAUGUAUCUCAAACUCGGAACCGUACAAACAAUUGUGGCAUCUUCACCAGAAAUGGCAAAACAAAUUCUACAUAAACACGAUCAGAUUUGUUCCAAUCGGAUGGUACCUGACACGGCCCAUGUAGCAAACCACCACACGAGCGCUUUAUCCUGGCUGCCGGUGGGAAACAAAUGGCGUACACUUCGUAAAAUCUGCAAAGAGCACAUGUUUACGGUGCAUAAGCUCCAAUUGAGUGAAAGCCUCCGCCAAGAAAAGCUGCAGCAGUUGCGUGAUUACUUGCACGAAUGUUGCAGUAAUACACGAGUUGUUGAUAUUGGGGAGGUUGCGUUUGUGACCUCCCUUAAUUUGAUUUCGACAACUCUCUUUUCUAUUGAUUUUGCUCACUUCGACUCUGAUUCUGCUCAAGAGAUGAAGGGUACUAUAAAUGGG
rnacentral:lncRNA from 1 species